UCCGCGCCUUUACGAAAUAAGCACGUAACAAAUUCCUUGAAAAAUUUCUUUGUUUGCGGUCCGAAAGUUCCCGUAGUUUCAAAUGCCAAGGGUUGCACUAUGUAUCGAACCGCCAGUCCAUCGUAUUUCUCAAGCUUUCGAUUCUCUUUUGUUUCCGCUGCACUUCCUGGAACACGUGAUGUCUGGCCAAUGGUGCACGAUUGUACAGUGUGGACUCAGGGGAAGUCACAGUCAAGGAAAGAUCGAGACAAGCGCCGAAUAGCUGUUGGCGGUUCACGAGGUGUUUCGCACGUCGCGUCAAGGCUUAUAUGAGGCUGCGCUGUUCUCCUGCCCAACUGAUCGUCAGCGGUUCCAACAACCACAUCGCACUAAUGAAGGGAACCUGCGUUUUUUGAUUUUUGGACACACUUGAAAACAGACAGACGGAAUGGUUUAUGGUGUUUCGCGCGAUUUUCUCUUUGGACGAUUAAUUAUUCACUUUUUAUUACCUGUUGUUCCAGUGGAAUGUUUUCGCAAAACGGGGGAUACGUCAUGGC